rnacentral:rRNA from 1 species
AGUGAACGCUGGCGGCAGGCCUAACACAUGCAAGUCGAGCGGCAGCGCGUCCGACCACCCUCGGGUGGUCGGAUGGCGGCGAGCGGCGGACGGGUGAGGAAUGCAUCGGAAUCUGCCUCGUUGUGGGGGAUAACGUAGGGAAACUUACGCUAAUACCGCAUACGACCUACGGGUGAAAGUGGGGGACCUUCGGGCCUCACGCGAUGAGAUGAGCCGAUGCCGGAUUAGCUAGUUGGCGGGGUAAAGGCCCACCAAGGCGACGAUCCGUAGCUGGUCUGAGAGGAUGAUCAGCCACACUGGAACUGAGACACGGUCCAGACUCCUACGGGAGGCAGCAGUGGGGAAUAUUGGACAAUGGGGGCAACCCUGAUCCAGCCAUGCCGCGUG